rnacentral:rRNA from 5 species
UUAUCGGAGAGUUUGAUCCUGGCUCAGGACGAACGCUGGCGGCGUGCCUAAUACAUGCAAGUCGAGCGGACAGAUG